rnacentral:lncRNA from 1 species
AUACUAUACUAUCUUAAAAGACAACAUAUAAUCACUCUAUAAUCCAAUCACUAGAAUCCUCUACAUUUAACUAUCAUUUUUCCUACACUUCUUCAUACAAAUCUAAAGUCCAAAGAUUCAUUUUCAAACCUCAAUAUUAUAAUUCUUUCAAUCAUAUCCAUUCUUCACCAAUACUUCUAAUUAUCUACUUACAAUUCUCCACUAUAUUCAUCUAUAAUAAAUUCCAUACUUCAUAUAUAACAUUAAAUCUCUUUUUCAUUCUAAAAUUUUACUUCAUAUUAUUCAAAAACUAUCCAUUAUUCUUCAACUACAAAGAAAUAAAGAGGUAGCACCAAGCUUACCCUGGCUCAUAACUAUCACAGUUUGCUCUCUCCUACUUCUU